AAUGAACGCUGGCGGCAUGCCUAACACAUGCAAGUCGAACGACACCACCGGGAGCGCUCGCUCCUGGGGGUGGCGAGGGACGGACGAGUAACACAUGCAUAGCAUACCUCUUAGACUUGGGGGAUAACGUCGGAAAACGUCGAAUACCGGAUCAUAUAUCGUACGGGGGUGAGCAAGAGUGAUAGUGGGUUUUUGGGUCGGUAAUAGCUGAAGCCGCGUCGGAUUGGCUAGUGGGUAAAGUAACGGCUUAGCAACGCGACGAUGCGUAGCCGACCUGAGAGGGUGAUCAGCCACACUGGAACUGAGACACGGUCCAGACUCCUACGGGAGGAAGCAGUCGGGAAUCUUACGCAAUGGGCGAGAGCCUGAUAGUGCAAAACCGCGUGAGUGAUGAAGGACUUCGGCUCGUAAAGCGCUGUUGUUCGGAAAGAAGAAAAGCGCGUGUACCCGUGAUCGUAUUGACGGUACCGAAAGAAUAAGCCCCGGCUAACUCCGUG
rnacentral:rRNA from 1 species